GCAGGAACACGGUGACAGCGGUGGCCACGUCUGUGCCCACACGCAGACAAAGGGCUGGCCGUGCCCGGCUGCCAGGGCUGUGCCAGCGGCGCCGACGGUGCCCACUCCCCCGGUGCAGGUGCCGGGGCUGGCACGUGACAGAGGGGCCUCCGCUGCCGGUGAGCGUCCCCCCCGCCGCCGAACCCCCCGACUGUCACUCACGGCUGUGGCCGAGCAGAUGGCACCUGGGCUGGGGCCGGCCCGCGGGGAGGCAGGGCCCACCCCAGCCCUGCCGGUGCCGGUGCCACGCCGGGCACCGAUUCCCGGGCAUCCUCCCUGCACGCCACGUCCCUUUCCCGCAGCACCGCUCAGCUCCCUCUGUUGCUGCCAUCUCCAUUUUGCCAGCGGGUGCCUGGCGGGCAUCGCCGCGCUCCGGGAGCCCACCCUCUCCUGAUGCCCGUGGCACACUGGUGCCAGCUCUGGCGACCACGCCGGCACUGCCACCACACCAGCACUGUGACCACGCUGGCACUGUGACCACACUGGCACUGUGACCAUGGCGGCACCAUGGCCAUGAUGGCACCACAGGGACCAUGACCACACCAGCAGUGACCACGAUGUCACCGUGACCAGAUGCCACCACACGCCAACACGGUGAUCGCCCUGGCAUCGCCACCACGCUGGCACCACAACCACACCGGCACGGUGACCACACUGCCACGGUGACCACGCCGGUGCUGCCACCACACCAUCACCGUGGCCGUGGCAGCACCACCACCACCAGCACCACGACGCCGGCACGGCGCUCGUGCCAGCCCGGCGCAGCCGCUCCCCGCUGCCACCUUGGGGGAUUUUGCGAGCCUUUAAUUGUCGUAAGCACAGAUUAAUUAAGCAGCGAUAAACACAAACCCAUGCAUUAUUGAUGAAUAAGGGUGAGUUCAGGUUGGUGCGAUCGGUGUAAUUAAAUAUAAACCUCAAGCUGCCCAUU